CUCAUAUGAUUAGUUUCAGGCCUCAGGCUUGAAAUGUGCCACAACAAGCAUCCUUGACUGUAACAGAUGAACCUGGUUACUAUGAGGAUGGAAAUUUCGGUAUAAGAUUGGAGAAUGUGCUUAUAGUCAAGAAGGCCGACACAAAAUUCAACUUUGGAGACAAGGGUUACUUGUCCUUUGAGCACAUAACAUGGGCACCAUACCAGAGAAAACUGAUUGACUUGAGCCUUUUAACUUCUGAAGAGAUAGAUUGGCUUAAUAGCUACCAUCUGAAGUGUAGGGAUGUUCU